rnacentral:rRNA from 1 species
AAAGCAUUCUCUGGUGUUGAAGGCCCUGCAAAGCAGCAUCGCGGUGGCGGAGCGUCGUUUGCGACGCCCGACACACAAAACAAGCGGUGAGUGCUUUGGGGUGGGGUGACUGCGUACCUUUUGUAUAAUGGGUCAGCGACUUAUAUUCUGUAGCAAGGUUAACCGUAUAGGGGAGCCGGAGGGAAACCGAGUCUUAAUUGGGCGUUAAGUUGCAGGGUAUAGACCCGAAACCCGGUGAUCUAGCCAUGGGCAGGUUGAAGGUUGGGUAACACUAACUGGAGGACCGAACCGACUAAUGUUGAAAAAUUAGCGGAUGACCUGUGGCUGGGGGUGAAAGGCCAAUCAAACCGGGAGAUAGCUGGUUCUCCCCGAAAGCUAUUUAGGUAGCGCCUCGUGAAUUCAUCUCCGGGGGUAGAGCACUGUUUCGGCUAGGGGGUCAUCCCGACUUACCAACCCGAUGCAAACUGCGAAUACCGGAGAAUGUUAUCACGGGAGACACACGGCGGGUGCUAACGUCCGUCGUGAAGAGGGAAACAACCCAGACCGCCAGCUAAGGUCCCAAAGUCAUGGUUAAGUGGGAAACGAUGUGGGAAGGCCCAGACAGCCAGGAUGUUGGCUUAGAAGCAGCCAUCAUUUAAAGAAAGCGUAAUAGCUCACUGGUCGAGUCGGCCUGCGCGGAAGAUGUAACGGGGCUAAACCAUGCACCGAAGCUGCGGCAGCGACACUGUGUGUUGUUGGGUAGGGGAGCGUUCUGUAAGCCUGUGAAGGUGGCCUGUGAGGGUUGCUGGAGGUAUCAGAAGUGCGAAUGCUGACAUAAGUAACGAUAAAGCGGGUGAAAAGCCCGCUCGCCGGAAGACCAAGGGUUCCUGUCCAACGUUAAUCGGGGCAGGGUGAGUCGACCCCUAAGGCGAGGCCGAAAGGCGUAGUCGAUGGGAAACGGGUUAAUAUUCCCGUACUUGGUGUUACUGCGAAGGGGGGACGGAGAAGGCUAUGUUGGCCGGGCGACGGUUGUCCCGGUUUAAGCGUGUAGGUGUGUGUUCCAGGUAAAUCCGGUUCACUUUAACACUGAGGCGUGACGACGAGGCACUACGGUGCUGAAGCAACAAAUGCCCUGCUUCCAGGAAAAGCCUCUAAGCAUCAGGUAACAUCAAAUCGUACCCCAAACCGACACAGGUGGUCAGGUAGAGAAUACCAAGGCGCUUGAGAGAACUCGGGUGAAGGAACUAGGCAAAAUGGUGCCGUAACUUCGGGAGAAGGCACGCUGACACGUAGGUGAAGUGAUUUACUCA